GCAGUUUCCUCCUUGGUAUGGCCAAUUGUGCAGUUUGUUUAUUGGCCACAAGGGCGCUCGGGGAGUUUAGUGUUAGCCUCCACACUCACUCCCCUUACCACAGCUGAUUUUCCCCUAUGCAAUGUCGUUAGCAAUCUUCCUUUUUUGUCGGUAAUACUGACAACACAGCCCCUGUCCAUCUGUGAUCAGCUUGUCUUGUUUGCUGUGUGCAUUGUCACACAUACUUUCUUGAGCCCACUUGUCCACUGAUGGGGUUAAAUUUUCUCCCCACCGUUUGACAUAGUGAGCUCUCUGCUUGAUCCAUUCCACCUGUCAUCCCAUCAAGCCUCCUCACGCUGCAGGUGUAUUGCACGCAUUGCUUUGGGACUUGUUUCAGCUGUGAUUGGCCCACCCGAUAUCAUGUGAUGCUUACACGUCACACAUCAGGUUAGGAAAGCCUAUUUAAACGGCAUUUUGCUGCACACCCAGUGCAGAAUGCCGCAGGGUCAUAUGUUCAGUGAGCACUCUUGUCCUUAAUGCUUUGCAGUUCCCCUUCUGGAUCAAGCAGCUGAUUUCUUCUGGCUUUAUACACACUAAGCUUAUUGUGACUUUGCAACACUGCCUGCGAUCCUUAUAUAGAUCUUAUACAGAUAUUUUGGGAAAUCUACAUGAUUCCUUCCUUGAAUUAACACUGCAGCUGGAUUGCUCAUUGAUGUCCCUGGUCUUUAACCCCAUAAACCGUUAUAUAUGUAAGUCAUUUAUGCUUUAUGGUCUCACAGUCAUUACUGCUAAACUAAGUUAACCAAUAUUUUGGUCAUUAUGUCUUAAAUACAUAUAUAUCUCACAGAUAAUAAUAUGUUAACCCCUAGCCAUCCCUAUUGCUUUGGCUAUGGUGUGUUUUUUUUUUUUUUUUUUUUUUUUUUUUUUUUCUCUGUCUCACUUACAUGUUAACCCUUAUAUGACUGUCCUUUUGUGACCAUUUUCAAACUUUUCCUGCUCAUUUGCAGGAUCAUGCACAUGACCAUUUUCACCUCGGCGGUUUUCUGUGUUUGUCGCUAGUUGUGGGCAACUCGUGGGUAAGAUAGUGUGGUCUUUAAACUUUGGAACCAUUUUUUACCAUUAUAUGUUGUACCU